rnacentral:rRNA from 1 species
UGGGGAAUAUUGGACAAUGGGGGCAACCCUGAUCCAGCCAUGCCGCGUGAGUGAUGAAGGCCUUCGGAUUGUAAAGCUCUUUUGGCGGGGACGAUGAUGACGGUACCCGCAGAAUAAGCCCCGGCUAACUUCGUGCCAGCAGCCGCGGUAAGACGAAGGGGGCUAGCGUUGUUCGGAAUUACUGGGCGUAAAGCGCGUGUAGGCGGUUGUCCUAGUCGGGCGUGAAAGCCUUGAGCUCAACUCAAGAAAUGCGCUCGAUACUGGGCGACUAGAGGACCGGAGAGGAUAGUGGAAUUCCCAGUGUAGUGGUGAAAUACGUAGAGAUUGGGAAGAACACCAGUGGCGAAGGCGGCUAUCUGGACGGUUACUGACGCUAAGACGCGAAAGCGUGGGGAGCAAACA